ensembl:lncRNA
AGAUGGUUUAAAAAAGCUUUAUUGAGGAUGAUGAUGAUAAUGAUAACUAUUAACAUUUGGCAUUAACAGGUGAUUCAAUUUCUAUUCUCUUCCCACACAGACUUCUUAAAACUUUAACCUUUGAAAUCUUCCCACAUUUUUCUAUCCAGGCAGUUCAACUUCAUUUCUAUACUUCACACCCAGAACCUCCACAGAGUGGGAAGCUCAGCUAUCAGAUUUUAGGAACUAGUCUUCUUUUGAAAUAAAAACACAUUCCAGUCUCAGGAAGUGGGUCAUAUCCUAGCAACAAUAAGGAGCUGAGACUGGGCACAUCUGCCAAGGAUGCCAAAGUGAAGUUUGAUACUUUCCUAAACUACAGUUUUUAGAUAAUACACAUAUUAAUUAAAACCUGCCUCUUGUAACACACACAUUACAAACAGUGGUACCACACUCAGCAAAUAAAUGGGUUCUACUGCAAAGCCAGCAAAAAUCUCAUCUGUGCCUCUUUUAAUCAAUCAAAUCAUCCAAGCUCUUUGAGAUAAUUAAAUGGCAUUGCAAUGGGAAUGGCAAUGUAGUGGCUGACAGUUUUUGUUUUAAAUGCCUUUAUUUCAGUUUUAGUUCCAAGAAAAAUGCUAUAAAUCCUGAGCUGUACUUACAUUUAUAAUUUAAAUGAACACAUUAAUGUACUGUAUUAUAAAAGCAGAAUGAGAAGCCCUGUCACAGUAUAUUGCCAACACACUGAAGAAACCCUUUCCCUUAUUACACACACAAACACAUACACAUACACAGACACACACACACACAGGCCUUGAACAAGGGGGAACACAGAUACCACAAAAACCGGAUGCUAGAGAAGUCUGCUCAAGAUAUAAUCAAACUUAAAAGCUUUUGCACGGCAAAGGAAAUCAUAAACAACCCACAGAAUGGGAGAAAAUAUUUUCAAAUGAUGUGAUUGACAAGGGAUUUUCUCCAAAAUAUACAAACAGGUCAGCAGCUCAAUUAAAAAAAAUUUUUUUAAUGAGCAGAGGACCUAAAUAGACAUUUAUCCAAAGAAAUCAUACAGAUGGCCAAAGAGCACAUGAAAAGAUGCAUAAUAUCACUGAUUAUUUAAAACAAUUAAACAAUUUAAAGUCUAUUUUAUUAAGGUAUAUUUUACAUAUAAAAUACACCCGUUUUAAGUCUACAGCAUGAGGUUUGGAAAAUAUGUAUCCAUAUAUAAUCAACACCAGAAUCAAACUAUGGAAACUUCUCUCAUCUCAAAAAAUUCCCUCUUUGUUGGCAUUUCCCUUAUAUUCUGGCUCAAGACAGCCACUGAUCUGAUUUCUUUUCUAAUGCUUUAUAUAAAUGGACUCAUAAAGUAUGCAUUCCACUAUAUCUGGCUUCUUUUUUAUAGCAUAAUGCAUAAUGUUUUUAUAUUGCUUUUGUUGUAUUAGCAAAUUGUUCCAUUUUAUUUCUAAGUGGUAUUCCAUUGUGUGACCAUACCAUAAUUUGUUUGGAAGCUUUUGGCUAUUAUGAAUAAAUCUAAAUGAGCAUUUGUUUACAGAUCUUUGAAUAGCCAAGACACAUGUUUUCACUUGUCUUUGAUAAAUACAUAUGAAUAAAGAUGCUGUGUCAUAGGAGAAGUAUACAUUUAGUUUUUAAAGUUUCUUUCUGGAGGAGUCUGCUACAUUGUUUUCAAAUUGUUGAAAGACUACAUUCCCACUAGCAGUGUAUGAGAGCUCUAGUUUCUCCAUAUUUCCACCAACACUUGGCAUUAUUGGCCUUUGUAAUGUUAGCUAUUCCUAUGGAUAUAUAGUGAUAUUUUACUGCAGUUUUAUUUUUUAGUCACAAAUCCAUGAAAUUUAUUUUUUAAAUAAAAAUGAUAAGAAAAAAUUAAUACUGUGUGAUGUCACUUAUAUAAUGAAUCUAAAAAUGCUGAACUCAUAGAACCAGAGAGUAGAAUGGCGGUUACAAAAAACUAUGGGGUAGGGAAAAUGGGGAAAUAUUGGUUAAAGGGUACAGACUUUAAGGGAUAAGAUGAAUAUAUCUUGGGAUUUAAUGUACGGCAUAGUGACUGUAGUUAAUAACACAGUAUUGUAUAAUUGAAAUUUAUUAAGAGAUUACAUCUUAAGUGUUCUUACCAGAAACCAAAGCCCUAUAUACUACACGCACACACACACAUAUAUAUAUAUAUUAUCAUCAUAUUAUGCACUCUAAAUAUAUAUGUACAAAUUUUGUUUGUCAAUUAUGCCACAACAAGGCUUCCCUGAUGGCUCAGCAGGUAAAGAAUCUGCCUGCAAUGCAGGAGGCAAAGGAGACAUGGGUUCAAUCUCUGGGUCAGGAAGAUCCCCUGGCGAAGGUAGUAGAAACCCACUUCAGUAUUCCGGCCUGGAAAAUCACAGGGACAGAGGAGACUGACUCGCUACAGUCCAUGAGGUUGAAAAGAGUUGGACACAACAGAUUAGCCAACACACAAGGCUGGAAAAGAAACUAUAAACAUUGUUAUAAUCUAUUUCCUUAGAGGUUACCCUCCUUAGUGCUUUAGUUUCUAUCACUGGAGUUUUAAAUUUGCAUUUUCCUGAUGACUAAAUGAUACUGAGUAUCUUUCCUGUGCUUAUCAGAAAAUCAUAUUAUCUUCUUUUGUGAAUUGUCUUUUCAUAAUUUUUUUCUGUUUCUCAGUAGGUUGACUUCUUCUUCUUCUUCUUCUUUUUGAGCCUCCUUUAUGUCCUAGAUGGGCUUCCCUGGUAGCUCAGAUGGUAAAGCGUCUGCCUACAAUGCGGGAGACCUGGGUUUGAUCCCUGAGUUGGGACGAUCCCCUGGAGAAGGAAAUGGCAACCCACCCCAGUAUUCAUGCCUGGAAAACCCAUGGACCAAGGAGCCUGGAGGGCUAGAGUCCAUGAGGUUGCAAAGAGUUGGACAUGACUGAGCGACUUCACUUCACUUAUGUCCUAGAUAUAAGCCAUUUGUGAGACAAAUAUAAUGUAACUAUUUUCUCCUAUUCUUUGGCUUUGCAUUUUCAGCUUAUUAAUGCUCAUUUGAAGAGCAGAAUUUUUAGUUUAGGUAAAGGUUGGCUUACCAUAUUGUCUUUAAUUUUGGCCUUAGGGAUCUUGUCUAGGAAGUCUUUACCAACAUUAAAGAAUGCAAAUGUUAUGAAUCUGGAUUAAAUGUUUAAGGUUAUGACACAUUUAGAGUUGCA